UUCCUGGUUGAUCCUGCCGGAGGCUACCGCUAUUGGAGUUCGAUUAAGCCAUGCGAGUCUAGAGGCCUAGCCUCGGCGUACCGCUCAGUAACACGUGGGUAACCUACCCUAUGCUGGGGAAUAAGCUCGGGAAACUGAGAAUUAUACCCCAUAGUCCACUACGCCUGGAACGGUGAGUGGAUCAAAGCUCCGGCGGCAUAGGAUGGGCCUGCGGCGUAUCAGGUUGUAGGGGGUGUAAUGUACCCUCUAGCCAUCCACGCGUACGGGUGUUGGGAGACAUUGCCCGGAGAUGGAUUCUGAGACACGAAUCCAGACCCUACGGGGUGCAGCAGGCGCGAAAACUUGGCAAUGCGAGAAAUCGUGACCAGGGAACUCCAAGUGGCAGGGGUAAGACCCUGUCUUUUUCCGACUCUAAAUAGGUCGGCGAAUAAGGGGUGGGUAAGGACGGUGCCAGCCGCCGCGGUAAUACCGGCGCCUCAAGUGGUAGUCGCUUUUAUUGGGCCUAAAACGUCCGUAGCCGGUCUGGUACAUUCGUGGGUAAAUCAACUCGCUCAACGAGUUGAAUUCUGCGAGGACGGCCAGACUUGGGACCGGGAGAGGUGUGGGGUACUCUCAGGGUAGGGGUAAAAUCCUGUCAUCCUGAGAGGACCACCUGUUGCGAAGGCUCCACACUAGAACGGAUCCGACGGUCAGGGACGAAGCCUAGGGGCACGAACCGGAUUAGAUACCCGGGUAGUCCUAGGUGUAAACGCUGUGGACUUGAUGUUGGGGACGCUCCGAGCGUUCUCAGUGUCGAAGCGAAGGUGAUAAGUCCACUGCCUGGGGAGUACGGUCGCAAGGCUGAAACUUAAAGGAAUUGGCGGGGGAGCACCGCAACCUGAGGAUUGUGCGGUUUAAUUGGAUUCAACGCCGGA
rnacentral:rRNA from 1 species